UACGUAGGCAGCGAGCGUUGUUCGGAGUUACUGGGCGUAAAGAGUGCGUAGGCGGUUUUCUAAGUUUGGUGUGAAAUCUCCCGGCUUAACUGGGAGGGUGCGCCAAAAACUGGAAAGCUGGAGUGUGGGAGAGGUAAGCGGAAUUCCUGGUGUAGCGGUGAAAUGCGUAGAUAUCAGGAGGAACACCUGCGGUGUAGACGGCUUACUGGACCAUAACUGACGCUGAGGCACGAAAGCGUGGGUAGCAAACAGG
rnacentral:rRNA from 1 species